ensembl:lncRNA
GUAACUAUUUUAGCGUAACUUACUUGCUGGCAUAAAGACCUACUUCAAUAUAUUGUAUAUAAAUCAUUCAUUAAUUUGUCCAUGUCACACAACAUACAAGUCAUCUAUGCCUUUAAAACACACAGUCAGGCAUUUUAGUUCUAAAACUAAAUAACAAAGGGAGCCUUUAAUGAUUAAACAGUAAACAGUUAAUGAGUAAAACAGCAACAUGUCGGCUAAAGUGAUUGAAUUCAGAAAUGCAUUUGACUGAACAUUUUUUUUUGUAAUAGCCUUUAAUACAGCACAGCAAAGUUUAGAAACAGACGGAUUGGUGAAAUUGCUUUCCCCGACAUUUUGCGGUUACGUGAGGCUUGGUGACCUCAGAAUCAGUAGGAUAUUUAACAAUCACUCAAAUAGGCAGAUGCAGGAACAGCAUGAGGCUGAGUGAAUCACUCAUUCCGGUUCUUCCUUCAAAAUAAGUUAUAUUACAAUGCAGGUUAUAGACAUUCUUUCUGAUUGCAUGCUAAAGACAGUCUCUCCUCUUGCUACAGCUAAUUUUGUACGAAUUAAGUGGAUUAUAAUACAUUUAUAUAUUUGCAGGAGUUGAUGCAUUUUUCAUUAGGGCAAAUCUGGUCUGUGAUAUUGAGUUAGAACUGUAAAACUUUAGAGUACUUAAACAUCGAAUACAUUGUAAGUCUGCACUUUAGGCUACACUUUACAAUAGGACUCAACUGACUGACCCCGCAGCAUCUAUCAGUAGUAUAAACUGUGACACAAAUUGGGGGGAUUUUUCACCCCUAGUCGAGCUAUUAGACUAUCCUUUGGUAAAUUAAUGGAGGUGUGAAUGUUUCAGCCAGUCUCUCUCCUAUCUAAAGUCCUGCAUCAGGCCACAACAACAAAAAAAUCUGGCGGUCGGUCCCGGAGUUGAGAGAGAAGUUGGGCAAAUACAACGGCACAAUUACACUUGACAUGUGGACUGACGAUUUUCAAAAAAUAGGAUACUUGUACCUUACAACCCGUUACAUACUGAAGAGUGGAUGUUAUCCACUACGGAGUGGGACAGGGCAGCUCAAACUGCAGAGAACAGAAGACCAGCUAUUGUGAAAGAAUACUUGUGGAUCGUGUGGAUUUCAUCUAUUGCAUGAAGAGACCUAAUGUCCACCUGGUCAUUGUGUGGUUCCAAAGGAUAAAGCCUCACAUUCAGAUGGAUGUGUGGUUUCAGAGAGAAGCCAGCCUGCGACCAGACACGGUGAUUAAAGCCUCACGUUCAGAUGGAGGGUGUGGUUUCAGAGAGAAGUCAGCUGUUAGCCUGCGACCAGGCACGGUGGUUAAAGCCUCACGUUCAGAUGGAGGUGUGGUUUCAGAGAAAAGCCAGCCUGCGACCAGGCACGGUGGUUAAAGCCUCCCCUUCAGAUGGAGGUGUGGUUUUAGAGAGAAGCCAGCCUGCGACCAGGUACGGUGGUUAAAGUCCUAUUCCUGCACAGCAAUCUGAAGAAUUCCAGUGAUGAAUGGACUGUUUCUGAAGUGAAUGUUUUAGUAAAUUCGUUGUCUAAUAUUAGAAUUCUCUUUAAAGCGAUUUGAGUUGUCAAAAUGUGCAACAUGGCAUUGUGGGGGGUGAUUUCAUGGCUUCUUUUCGACAAAUGCUGAAAAACAGCAGACAAAUUAAUUAAUGCAGGAAAAGAGGAAUUCUUCAUUAGGUUAUAAUAAUAAAUGCCUUCUGAGAAUGUUAAAGUCCAACAGUUAUGGGAGGGGUUAGAAAUGUGGCUGUCAGAAGUAUUACAAUGUAAAUUAACUUUUAAUCCAUCUGUCUGCAUAUUUCAAGACAUGGAAUAAGGGUGCAGUGAGAUACGAUAGUUCUCGUCAAACGACCUGAAAAAAACAUACUUAAAAACUGAAAAUCAACCAACGUCAGCCUAUUAUCCAAUGUUGAAAGUGCGUGUGGACGACAGAGAGAAACAAAAUGGUGUAGUUUGAGGCCAUGUGGCCGGGUGUGACGGGGUGCGAGCAGGUGGGUCUGGACAGCUGUAAUGUAGUUUCCCUUUGUAUGUGUAUGUUCUGUAUCGUCUAAAAAUAUAUAUUUUUAAAAUCGUACAAAAAAAAAAAAAAUGUAAUAAAGAUGACAAGCUUGCGAUACGCAUCCGAUUAUUCAUUAUGAACAUCAUUUAUUUUGUUUACAUCCUUCAUUGCAAACACAAUGUUACAAAUAAUUUAACACAGAUUAACUUGGUCAAAACAUGUAUUUUUUAAAGAAAACCCAGCGUUAUGCUGACAAAUAGCCUACUAAACAGGCCAAGCCUAAACAUAUAUAUUAAAAUUGCCUAAAUAAACUAGAAUAUUUCAUAAAUAAACAAAGUAGUUCAGCUCACCUUUUUCCCCCUCCCUAUCCUCGCUGGACUCUUUCAUUCAGUUUCUUCUACACAUCAGCAAAGGACUCAGAAAUUCACUUUCUAAAGAGGGGUUAUCACUCCUUCACACUGUGGUAAAUCAAGUCCGUUUGUUAUUUAGAACCAUUUAUGUUUCUUAGAGGGAGAGAAACCAAAAGCCCACCGUGCCAAUUUUUCAAAAAUCAUCAGUCCACAUGUCAAGCGUAAAUGCACCAUUGUAUUUUCCCAAGUUCUCUCUCAACUCCGGGACCACCCGCCAGCUUUUUGAUAGUGCAACCCUCAAUAACAGUCCAGAUGAAAAAUGAUCAGGCCUACUGUACAUCUUACUGUUGAACGAAAGUCAAGGUUGGAAAUGUUGCUGUUAAAAUGCAAUACAUAUGUCUUACUCUGAACUGGAAUAAACAGAAUGGUCUACAUCUGUGUGAUGUGACCAACAAGCACGUCUAUAUUCUGGGCUCUGUUUUAGUACAACAAUGAGGUGAUGCUCAGCCUUGAAACUGCUUAAGUAUGUCAGAGUUGAACACCCUGACUCGCAUAGGUAUGUGGUGCCAAACUGGACCAGAACAUCUACUGCUUUCUCAGUCAGGCAGGAGACCGCUUCCUGCUGUAGACUUUUAUCUCCCUCACCAACUUCAAACAUCUGCUAUCUGAGCAGCUAACCGAUCGCUGCAGCUGUACAUAGUCUAUCGGUAAAUAGCCCACCCAUUUUUACCUACCUCAUCCCCAUACUGUUUUUAUUUAUUUACUUUUCUGCUCUUUUGCACACCAAUAUCUCUACCUGUACAUGACCAUCUGAUCAUUUAUCACUCCAGUGUUAAUCUGCAAAAUUGUAAUUAUUCGCCUACCUCCUCAUGCCUUUUGCACACAAUGUAUAUAGAC